GGAUUGUAGUCUGCAACUCGAGUACAUGAAGCUGGAAUCGCUAGUAAUCGCAAAUCAGAAUGUUGCGGUGAAUACGUUCCCGGGCCUUGUACACACCGCCCGUCACACCAUGGGAGUUGGAAGCACCCGAAGUCGAUGACCUAACCGCGAGGGAGGAGUCGCCGAAGGUGAAGCCAGUGACUGGGGUGAAGUCGUAACAAGGUAGC
rnacentral:rRNA from 1 species